rnacentral:lncRNA from 1 species
GAAACGAAACAUCGAAUUAAAAGUCAGAAAUAAGUCACAUUGGAACUAAGGCAUUGUUGACGUAGACCAAAUCCAGAUAAAUUUCAUGUCAUGAUUUUGGAGCUAGGUCUAACUCACUAGCUAGACUGAUUACAUCAGGUUGAUUCUGAAAUCAUGAUUCAAAAAAAAAAACUAGGGGGCUUGAAUCAUACUUGCUUAGAUCCAGGUC